CAUCUCUGGCGCCGUUCAGGUGCCGGAUCGAUGUCCGGUUGAAAGGGAAUCCGGGAAGGCCCAUCGGCCGGAUCCGGAACUGCCCCCGCAACUGUAGGCGGACAGCCUGCCCGACAUGCCACUGGCCGAUCGUGCCGGGAAGGCCGGGCAAGGCGCUCAUCCGCGAGUCAGGAAACCUGCCUGAACCGAUCACCUGUU
rnacentral:ncRNA from 1 species